rnacentral:lncRNA from 1 species
ACUCAACUCGCAGGGGGAUACUAAUAUAUCUAUGCCUCAGUAUUCAGGUGAUGUGACUCUCCUGCCUGGUUCUGCCCACAGUAGCCAGAACAUGUGUGGGACUGUGAAUCUCAUCCCUGGAACUUCCUAUUAGUUCUCACUAUGUUGCCCAGGCUGGAGUGCACUAGCUAGUCAUAAACACAAUCAUGGUGCAUUGCAACCUGGACUCAAAGGAUCCUCCUGCCUUAGCCUCCUUAAUAGCUGGGACUAAAGGCACAUGUCUCCACAACCGGCUAUGUUUUUAAAAACCACCUUUACACUACUGCACAUUUUUGGACAUUAGAAAACAAACAUAUUUUGACUCUCAAGAAAAAAGUACUUGGUGGCACAUUAAAGAAUGAGUCAAUGAGUUUACAAAACACAAGAGGCAGGGUGCAGUUAUUCCAAAAUUAUAGAAAACAACAUUGUGCCUUUGCUUUUGUCUGAAGGAAAUAAAAUGUUUCCACAUAAAUUUUAGGUGCCAAAAUAGCUAAUUACUGUUAAAAUGUCACCAAAAUUAGUAACAUUGCUCAGAAAAUCAACUAUUUUCAACAGA